ensembl:processed_transcript 4933400F21Rik RIKEN cDNA 4933400F21 gene
ACACACAACAUGGGCUUCCCACUGAAAGCUUCAGGGCUACAGCACUGCCGAUCCCAAGCUCUGUGGCUCACUUCACAAGACGGCUGUGAGGACAGAUUCCCCGUCCUAGGUCAAGCCUGAGGUCUGCCGAAUUGUUCCAUCUCACAAAGGCACGGGCUCCCUCUGAGAGUCCACGACCAGCCCCCAAAGACAAGCUGCAGCGGAGACAGGUGCAUCUGGGUGCUGCAGAAACACGCUCACACUCGGGAGCUCUUCAAGAGCUGUCAGAUGGUCCAAGAUGGCUGAGCAACGUUCCUGACACUGGGUCAAGACUGUGAAUGGCAGGAAAGACUGGAGAACUGUCUGAAGUACAGGCAGUGAGUUGUCCCACCACCGAGGAGGCUCCAAAGCGACCACCUUCUUCUCACCCUCAUUGUGACCAUGCUUCCCAGCACUCUGCACUUCCUAACUUGUCUCCUGCCAUGUGGCUACCCAUCCACCAUGUCUGCAUCCCACACCACCUCCAACAGCAUAGCUUCUAGUCUUUCCUCUGUUCUUCUUUGGGCAGCCGCUGAGCUUUACAGCUCGAUUGUCCUAGGGUGUCUUAGAAAUAUCUUCACGUAUCUUUUGAGUCCAUUCUCAAAUUCCUUUAUUAAUGAGGCUAACCCCAAGAGGGAGCCCUGAUCUCCUCAGUAUCAUCCGGCGUACCAGAUGGGACUCCCCAAAUUCCGGUUACAGUAUCAGAAAUAUCUUGGUGUGUGUAUUUUCCUGUAUCUGCCCUGAUAUUUAUAAACUUUAAGCAAUUCUCUAUAGAACAAAAAAGUGGGUGGUGGAGACUGAAUAUUCGUCUAACAUUUUAGUAAGGAAGCCAUAGGCUUGUGUCACUAAAGUCUGCGGGUGUAAUGUUUAAAAGUUCCUUCUAAGCAAAAUGAUGAGCACGAAGACAUUUAUUUAGAAACAAUUUUUUUUUUCCCAAAUGAGUUCUAAGAAAUAGGAAAGGCCGAAAGAAACCAGUUGUUUGAGAUGAUUUCUGGGCCACUGACAAAGGCUUUUAUUCUUUGAAGAAUAGACAGAGAAUGGCCACUUGUGUAAUCCAGAUAUAGCACCUUAAUAUACAUGAAACAGAGUUAAAUAUAGAGGAUGAUGGGUUAAAAAUUAGACCACUUGUAAAGAGUAACAAUGUACAGCACAGCUCCUUCAAGGUUAGCAUACCCUUUGACAAGAAUUUAAAAUUCAUCUGAGGGAAGAAAAAAGCAUUCACACCAUCAACUUACACACUUUUAUCACUACCAACAUGGCUGUCACCUCCACAGAUCUACCACCAUCACCAGCCGCUUCAAGACUAACCAUCACUGCCACCACCACCACCGUCUCCACCAAGACCACCUCUACCACUACCAUCAGCUACACCUUUACUAAAACCACUCCCAUCACCAUUACUACCACCUGUGCCGUCACCACCACCAUCAUCACCAAAGUCAGUAAGACCACUGUCACUGCCACUUCCACCAUUCUGAGUCCUCCUUGCACUGCAGAUGCCAACAGAGACAGCACUCCAUCACGAGUUCACAUAGGAGGAAGGAGAGGUGUCGGGGGAAGAAGAGGGAAGAUCCUACAUCCCAUCAGUUGUAAGUAUACUUCCUGGGAUAGGCUUUGAGCCUCAAAGGUGAGAAGCCCCAGGAGACCUCAUGUGCCUAGAUAAGGGAAAUCCAAAGCCUGGCCCUGCAUCAUCAGCAUCACCUGGCAAACAGAUGCUCAAUGUACAGCCUCAACCUUGACUCAUCUGCCCCACCUCAGGGCCCGUGGUGUGGUAAUGCUACCGGAUCUCACUUGGUCAACAUACUGCGCAGUUCUCACAAGUCAGUCAUUGGUCACCCUGAGCAAAGUGUCCUGUGAGCCUGUGAGCUAGAUGGGAUGUGCAGCUGGGAAGACUCGCUAAAGACAUGCUGUGGGGCUGUGAGGCUGUGAGGCUGGAUCCCAGUUUCUCCACUUGUUAGUGCUGAAAACUCAGUCCCCCAGGACCUUGGACUCCAUAAACAAUAGGGCCCAGGCUGGUAGAAAUUAAUCAGGGCUCUGAAUGAAAGCAGUAAGCUGCUCUAACACAUUGGAAGCCUCUCACAUGCACAGUGAGCACUUGGCACAUCACUGCCAGCGCCCCACUACAGAGCACACUCAGGAGCACCGGGCACUUGGCCAAUGCCGAUGUGGCACACUCAGAGACGGGAGUAAGUAUGGCGGGUGAAGGUCUGGUGUGAUGUGGGAGAACUCCAGGAUGAGAACAGCUUAGUGUUUCUAUUUUCCCUAGUCUACAAACAAUUCUGAUACUUGGGACUUCAAAGAAAAUGAAGAAACCUAGGAAAAUAUUUCUUCCAUGUCAAUUUUAAAUCCCACCAACCUUCUCUCUCCAUAAUUACAGCUGUCAGUGUUGGCAUCAAGGGAAAACGGUGUCCUUGGCUUUAGAAUGUGGCCAUUAGGGACUCAGUUAAAAAUAAAUUCUCUUCCCG